GGGCCACCCCUUUCAACGUUCCUUCCUUGCAGAGUCCUCUAUGGACACGGGGGCUGGAUCACUCUUCGCCACGGGGCCGUCCUGGGCACCGUACGGUGUUGAGCAGCACACCUGGUCUCCACCCACCAGAUGCCGGUGGCGCCCACCCCGGUUGCCUCCAGACGCUGCACACUGUCCUCUGGGGGCCGGGCACAGUGGCCGCCAUUGAGACGGGCUGCGACAAGGCACAGCCCCUUGCUGUGACGGGGAGGCAGGCCCCGGCACUGCUGCACUCACCCUGGGCAAGGCUGGACGCCGUGCAGCUCUCAGCCAUGCCCGACACCUGGCUGGCGAUGCUGAUCUCGCUGGCCCGGCGGAAACCUCGGGCAGUGGGGGCUGUGCCAGGCGAGGAGGGGGCCGCGUGCUCUUGGAAGACCGCGUUGUGGGCCUGGAGUGCAUCUGCUGCAGGCGGACAGGGACCAAAGACUGCGGAGCCCCGGGGCUGGCGCCCCACCUGCAACUUUUGGGAGCCUCACGCGCAUGCGCGGCCUGAGCCGGGUAGAGCUAUCCGCUAUUAGAAAUGUCUCUAGGCUGUGCGAUGGGGCUGUGCUUUCGAACAUCUCACAGUUGAUGGGAAGAUCACGUGGACGUCAUUAUAAACUAUCAGUAACAUAUAUCUCACUUUAAAAAAUACAUACAAAUAGGAACAUAAUCUAUGCUUUUUGAACAUAAUCUAUUGUUUUUUUUCAUUUAACACAAUAAAUGGGAGUCUUUCGUAUCA